UUAAGUUAUUAAGGGCGCACGGUGGAUGCCUUGGCACUAGAAGCCGACGAAGGACGUUACUAACGACGAUAUGCUUUGGGGAGCUGUAAGUAAGCUUUGAUCCAGAGAUUUCCGAAUGGGGAAACCCAGCACGAGUUAUGUCGUGUUAUCUGCAUGUGAAUACAUAGCAUGCAAGAAGGCAGACCCGGAGAACUGAAACAUCUUAGUACCCGGAGGAAGAGAAAGAAAAAUCGAUUCCCUGAGUAGCGGCGAGCGAAACGGGAAGAGCCCAAACCAAUAAGCUUGCUUAUUGGGGUUGUAGGACACUCUGUACGGAGUUACAAAAGAAUUUGUUAGACGAAUAACCUGGAAAGGUUAAUCAUAGAAGGUAAUAAUCCUGUAGUCGAAAACGAAUUCUCUCUUGAGUGGAUCCUGAGUACGACGGAGCACGUGAAAUUCCGUCGGAAUCUGGGAGGACCAUCUCCUAAGGCUAAAUACUCUCUAGUGACCGAUAGUGAACCAGUACCGUGAGGGAAAGGUGAAAAGUACCCCGGAAGGGGAGUGAAAGAGAACUUGAAACCGUGUGCUUACAAGUAGUCAGAGCCCGUUAAUGGGUGAUGGCGUGCCUUUUGUAGAAUGAACCGGCGAGUUACGAUCUGAUGCAAGGUUAAGCAGAAAAUGUGGAGCCGUAGCGAAAGCGAGUCUGAAUAGGGCGAAUGAGUAUUUGGUCGUAGACCCGAAACCAGGUGAUCUACCCUUGGUCAGGUUGAAGUUCAGGUAACACUGAAUGGAGGACCGAACCGACUUACGUUGAAAAGUGAGCGGAUGAACUGAGGGUAGCGGAGAAAUUCCAAUCGAACUUGGAGAUAGCUGGUUCUCUCCGAAAUAGCUUUAGGGCUAGCCUCAAGUGAUGAUUAUUGGAGGUAGAGCACUGUUUGGACGAGGGGCCCCUCUCGGGUUACCGAAUUCAGACAAACUCCGAAUGCCAAAUAAUUUAACUUGGGAGUCAGAAUGUGGGUGAUAAGGUCCAUAUUCGAAAGGGAAACAGCCCAGACCACCAGCUAAGGUCCCAAAAUAUAUGUUAAGUGGAAAAGGAUGUGGCGUUGCCCAGACAACUAGGAUGUUGGCUUAGAAGCAGCCAUCAUUUAAAGAGUGCGUAAUAGCUCACUAGUCGAGUGACACUGCGCCGAAAAUGUACCGGGGCUAAACAUAUUACCGAAGCUGUGGAUUGUCCAUUGGACAAUGGUAGGAGAGCGUUCUAAGGGCGUUGAAGCAUGAUCGCAAGGACAUGUGGAGCGCUUAGAAGUGAGAAUGCCGGUGUGAGUAGCGAAAGACGGGUGAGAAUCCCGUCCACCGAUUGACUAAGGUUUCCAGAGGAAGGCUCGUCCGCUCUGGGUUAGUCGGGUCCUAAGCUGAGGCCGACAGGCGUAGGCGAUGGAUAACAGGUUGAUAUUCCUGUACCACCAUUAUUCGUUUUAAGCGAUGGGGGGACGCAGUAGGAUAGGCGAAGCGUGCUGUUGGAGUGCACGUCCAAGCAGUGAGAUUGAGUGUUAGGCAAAUCCGGCACUAUACGAGAGGACCGGGAUGGACAUACCUCUGGUGUACCAGUUGUCGUGCCAACGGCAUAGCUGGGUAGCUAUGUAUGGACGGGAUAAGUGCUGAAAGCAUCUAAGCAUGAAGCCCCCCUCGAGAUGAGAUUUCCCAACUUCGGUUAUAAGAUCCCUCAAAGAUGAUGAGGUGAAUAGGUUCGAGGUGGAAGCGUAGCGAUACGUGGAGCUGACGAAUACUAAUCGAUCGAAGACUUAAUCAAUAUAAUUGUUCAUAAGGUAAUGCUUGUGAUAAAUAUACUUACUAUCUAGUUUUGAAUGUAUAACAUUCAAUCAUAUUUUUGUUUGGUGACUAUGGCAAAGAGGUCACACCUGUUCCCAUGCCGAACACAGAAGUUAAGCUCUUUAGCGCCGAUGGUAGUCGGACUUACGUUCCGCGAGAGUAGGACGUUGCCAAGCAGAAAUAAAACGCAUAGGAUGCGAUGAGCCGAAUUGAGACCCUUUAGUAGGUCUCUUUUUUUUAUUUAAACAAAGGUGGUGUCUGUCAUGUUGACUUAUUUCAAAAAUGUCGCACAUAUCGAUGUUGAUAAAAUCGAUUUACAACGUGGUUUACGUCAAGGGUUAUUAAUGUUUUUACCUUUACUCUAUGGCUUGAUGUUUCAUGAUUUUUCAAGUGCCUUAUUAGCAACGAUUGGCACUUUUGCAAGUAUUUAUGUUUUCAAAGGAACAUUUAAUUCGCGCUUGCGUUCAGUCACUUUCGCAGCCAUUGGUUUAGUUGUAACGAUGAUGAUCGGGACAUUAACCGCAAGUACGCCUUUGCUUUUUGGCAUCUUUUUGUUAAUUGUUGCUGUUGUGCCGUUUUAUGUUUUUAAUACUUUAAAUAUCCCUGGUCCUUCUUCUACGUUUUUUAUUAUUGCCUAUAGUUUGGCAAGCGUUAUGCCCCCUGAUCCGCAUGCAUUUUUAUGGAGAGGGGCUAUUGUAGGUAUCGGUGGUCUUCUUGCGCUUAUAUUUGUGCUCAUCGAAAUUAAGAUAGGUCAUGAGCAACCUGAAUUUAGUGCGGUGUCUAAAGAGUUCAAGGAGAUUCAAGCAUUGAUUCACCAUUUUAAUGAGCAAGUGACGUUUAAUGCCUUGACCAAAACGACCGUGCAAACCUUGAUUUCAACUUCUGAAAUUCUUCAAACUUCAAGAUCGGUAUUGAAGAGAAAGUCUGUAGAAGUACAGCGGUUGUCAUUGCUACAUCGUACUGCUGAAGGGG
rnacentral:rRNA from 1 species